CGUGUAGGCGGAUUUGUAAGUUGGGGGUGAAAUCCCGAGGCUCAACCUCGGAACUGCCUCCAAAACUACAAGUCUGGAGCAAGAUAGAGGCAAGUGGAAUUGCGAGUGUAGAGGUGAAAUUCGUAGAUAUUCGCAGGAACACCAGUGGCGAAGGCGACUUGCUGGAUCUUUGCUGACGCUGAGACGCGAAAGCGUGGGGAGCAAACA
rnacentral:rRNA from 1 species